AAAACCUAUGAAUUUCUCUGUGAAAUUUUCUCCUUAUCGUCAAGAAUGUAUUUCUUUGUGCAAGUGACAACCGCCUUAGCUGCCCCCUAACGGCAGCCAGGUGCAACUUUUUGCAAACCACCUUGCCGAGAGGGAGCAAAAACCACCGUUUUUGUUUUCAAGGUCAAAAAUGUCAUUCAAAUUUUAUGUAUUUUAACUAUUAGUAAAAACUGAAUGAAACAAGAAUAUAGAAAUUCUCAAUUUUA